UGCUUAUGUUUGGUUGACCAUCCACUUUUCUGAAAAAAUUAUAUGUAAUUCCUAUUAUGCCCUUAAUAAAAAUUAGGUCUUUAAUAACUCUUUAAUGCUGAAGGGCCCUUUUGGAAAAAAAUAAAAAUAGAGUGAUUUUCGGCUUACGAAAAGUAACUUUUCCAUGUUUUUUAUGUAAAAAACUUUCCCAUGAAACAUGGAAAGCUUAUUUCUAUGAGAAUACAAUUUUUUUGUCUCUCUUCUUUAAAAACUCUAGCCAAACAAGAGCCAUCUCAUUACUUUUCUGUUGACCACACUUUUUUUCCCUCCUUUUUCCGCGAACCAAACGAGCCCUAAAGUGGUAGAAACUUGAUCCGGUAAACAAAAUUGGAUAGCUAAACUUUAAUCAUGUUUAUUUUGAAAUAUUCAUAGACCAACCUAACCUUAAUAUGGCAAUUCGGACCUAAAUGACGGCAUCAAUUUUUUUUUAUUAUUUGUUACUAAACAAAAUAAUAUAUCUUUUGAACCAUAUAAUUACUUUUGGAAGGAAUUUUGAGAAAGAAGUUGAAUUUCAUUUAAAAAUAACAAAAAAAAUUAUUAUUUAUAUUAUAAUGGUCAAUUCUAAUGAAAACUAAAGAUCAU
rnacentral:lncRNA from 1 species